CCGUGCCCAAGAGAUCGGGAUAACACCUGGAAACAGAUGCUAAUACCGGAUAACAACAGAUGAUGCCUAUCAACUGUUUAAAAGAUGGUUCUGCUAUCACUCUUGGAUGGACCUGCGGUGCAUUAGCUAGUUGGUAGGGUAACGGCCUACCAAGGCGAUGAUGCAUAGCCGAGUUGAGAGACUGAUCGGCCACAUUGGGACUGAGACNCGGCCCAAACUCCUACGGGAGGCAGCAGCC
rnacentral:rRNA from 1 species